rnacentral:rRNA from 1 species
CCUACGGGUGGCAGCAGUGAGGAAUAUUGGUCAAUGGACGGAAGUCUGAACCAGCCAUGCCGCGUGCAUGAAGACGGCUCUCUGAGUUGUAAACUGCUUUUGUACAAGGGUAAACCUGAAUACGUGUAUUCAGCUGACAGUCCUGUUCGAUUAAGGAUCGGCUAACUCCGUGCCAGCGGCCGCGGUAAUACGGAGGAUCCAAGCGUUAUCCGGAUUUAUUGGGUUUAAAGGGUGCGUAGGCGGAUUGAUAAGUUUGAGGUGAAAUGUUCGAGCUUAACUCGGGAUCUGCCUCUAAUACUGUUGAGAUAGAGAGUAGAUGCGGUAGGCGGAAUGUAUGGUGUAGCGGUGAAAUGCUUAGAGAUCAUACAGAACACCGAUUGCGAAGGCAGCUUACCAAUCUAUAUCUGACGUGGAGGCACGAAAGCGUGGGGAGCAAACAGGAUUAGAUACCCCGGUAGUC